UACAGAGGAUGCAAGCGUUAUCCGGAAUGAUUGGGCGUAAAGCGUCUGUAGGUGGCUUUUUAAGUCCGCCGUCAAAUCCCAGGGCUCAACUCUGGACAGGCGGUGGAAACUACCAAGCUGGAGUACGGUAGGGGCAGAGGGAAUUCCCGGUGUAGCGAUGAAAUGCGCAGAUAUCGGGAGGAACACCAAUGGCGAAGGCAGCUUGCUGGGACGGUACUGACGCUGAGGCGCGAAAGCGUGGGGAGCAAACAGG
rnacentral:rRNA from 1 species